rnacentral:lncRNA from 1 species
GAAUUCGUGAGUUGCAUAGUUAAGUUACUGCGUACAAGUUCCAAAAUGUGAUGAACAAGUUUUAUGUCAGACAUAUGAAAGAAGGGUCAAACAAUUAUCAGGUAAAUAGUACAUCCAAGAAAUACAAUUAUAACUCCUGUAAGUUAGUCUCAUUAUACUUACUCAAAUUUGCUUGAUUCCAAGCCAGAGAGAUUAGCCACUUUUGUUAAAGCAGUUCUCCACCGUUUCACCUUCUGUAUGCCAUCCUCUUGGGAAUACCUGUGUUCAUGCCUAGUGAAGGCUUCUGCAAAAGUCCGGAGUUGAUGUCGCACAUCAGAUGGAUCUACAUUAUAGAAAAGUGGGAUAACUUUUG